GGUGUGUGGAGGAGGUUUUUGUGGGUAUGAGGAGGAGGUUUUUGUGGGUAUGAGGAGGAGGUUUUUGUGGGUAUGAGGAGGAGGUUUUUGUGGGUAUGAGGAGGAGGUUUUUGUGGGUAUGAGGAGGAGGUUUUUGUGGGUAUGAGGAGGAGGUUUUUGUGGGUCUGUGGAGGAGGUUUUUGUGGGUCUGUGGAGGAGGUUUUUGUGGGUAUGUGGAGGUUUUUGUGGGUAUGUGGAGGAGGUUUUUGUGGGUCUACGAGGAGGAGGUUUUUGCUGGUCUGUGGAGGAGGUUUUUUGUGGGUCUGUGGAGGAGGUUUUUGUGGGUCUGUGGAGGAGGUUUUUGUGGGUAUGUGGAGGAGGUUU